UAAUGGUUGUUAGUUAUGGUAGUUACUGUAUGAUAUUAUUGCAUGCGAUUGUAUUUAUGUUUCGUAUGUUUAAAUAAUUAUUUUCGCUAUUUACGCUAUUUCUGCUGGAGUUACUAAUGCUUUAUUGUUUUUGCUUUUGUCUUUGUUUUUGUUUUACUGCUGUUUUACCUUUUAUCCUAUGAGCCGGGGGUCGAUUGGAAACAGCCUCCCUUUCGGGCAGGGGUAAGGCUUGUCUACAU
rnacentral:lncRNA from 1 species